rnacentral:rRNA from 1 species
UGGGGAAUCUUGGACAAUGGGGGCAACCCUGAUCCAGCCAUGCCGCGUGAGUGAUGAAGGCCUUAGGGUCGUAAAGCUCUUUCGCCUGUGAAGAUAAUGACGGUAGCAGGUAAAGAAACCCCGGCUAACUCCGUGCCAGCAGCCGCGGUAAUACGGAGGGGGCUAGCGUUGUUCGGAAUUACUGGGCGUAAAGCGCGCGUAGGCGGACUGAUCAGUCAGGGGUGAAAUCCCGGGGCUCAACCCCGGAACUGCCUUUGAUACUGUCAGUCUAGAGACCGGAAGAGGUUAGGGGAAUACCUAGUGUAGAGGUGAAAUUCGUAGAUAUUAGGUGGAACACCAGUGGCGAAGGCGCCUAACUGGUCCGGUACUGACGCUGAGGAACGAAAAGCGUGGGGAGCAAACAGGAUUAGAUACCCUGGUAGUCCACGCCGUAAAACGAUGAGUGCUAGAUGUUGGGAUUUUCGGAUUUCAGUGUCGCAGCUAACGCAUUAAGCACUCCGCCUGGGAGUACGGCCGCAAGGUUAAAACUCAAAGG